UGUGUGUGUAUGUAUGUCAGUAUGUCUGUGUGUGUCUAUGACAGACAUACUGACAUACACACACAGACAUACUGACACAUACACACACACA